CUUCAGCGACCCGAGCCACAGCGGGUCCUGCUCGCCGCGGUCCCGGCCGUAGGUGGCCAGCAGCGCCUGGGCCUC
rnacentral:antisense_RNA from 1 species